UGAGGGAAAGUUGCAAAGAACUUUGAAGAGAGAGUUCAAGAGUACGUGAAACCGCUCGGAGGCAAACGGGUGGGCCCUCGAAGGUCGAACGGGGGGAUUCAACCCGUCCGCACGAACACGUCGCCAGCCACGGAUGGCGGGGUCGGAGCAAGGGGUCUCGUGCCUCUCUGUUCCUCCCGUCGAACGGAUCCGUCAAAGACCGGUCCGUGGCGAAAGCUCGAAGGCGGCAGCGGGCGGGCGCACUUCCCCCUCAGUAGGACGCCGCGACCGGUCGGGUCGCACGAAAAAUGCGGUCAUGCAGCAGGACAACGACAGGUAUCCGUUGCCAGCGUGGUUUUUCCUUUUUGGGUUGAAAGACGUCUGUCGGAGUUACAGCCUGUUUUGCUUCGGCCGCUACCCGACCGUGGUCUCGCGCGCCCGCGCUCGGCGCGCGGUUCGUCCGCUCGGCAGGCCGAACCCUCAGGUACCGAUCGCCCCUGGCUUGGCGGUCGGCUGUCCUGUUGGCGGUUCGCCGGUGGUUGGGCGUCUGCUCCCGUGGAGGUGCUUGCGGUCAGCGGCGAAUAUGUCAUCUCCCGCCAGUCUUC
rnacentral:rRNA from 1 species